rnacentral:rRNA from 1 species
UACGUAGGGGGCAAGCGUUGUCCGGAAUCAUUGGGCGUAAAGAGCGCGUAGGCGGCCAGAUAAGUCCGGUGUGAAAGUCACAGGCUCAACCUGUGAAUGCUGCUGGAAACUGUCUGGCUAGAGUCCGGAAGGGGCGAGUGGAAUUCCUGGUGUAGCGGUGAAAUGCGCAGAUAUCAGGAGGAACACCGAUGGCGAAGGCAGCUCGCUGGGACGGUACUGACGCUGAGGCGCGAAAGCGUGGGGAGCGAACAGG